UGAGUCACAAUAUCAGUGUCUAAUCCAGGCAUGUCUUGGUAUGACCAAGCAAACACGUCAUCAUAUUCGUGGAGGAGCUCUAUCAGUCUUGUCUUCACUGUAUCUUGAAGCGCGGCACCUACCUUUACUUCUCUCUUAUCUUCUUCUGUUCCCAAAUUGAUAACUUCAACGUCUUCCUGGUGUGGUUAAAUAACCUUUU
rnacentral:lncRNA from 1 species